rnacentral:tRNA from 1 species
GGGGACGUGGUGGAACUGGCAGACACGUAGGUCUCAGAAGCCUAUGGGUAAAACCGUGGGGGUUCAACUCCCCCCGUCCCCA